AUGCAUGUCUAAGUACAGGCCUACCCAGGGCGAAACCGCGAAUGGCUCAUUAAAUCAGUCAUGAUUUAUUAGAUGUCGUAAAAUCCUUUACUUGGAUAACUGUGGUAAUUCUAGAGCUAAUACAUGCAAUUGAGCUCCGACCUCGUCGCUUUGGUGGCGAGGGAAGGGCGCUUUUAUUAGAUCAAAAACCGAGUGGACUUCGCGUCCUUCUCCCAUAAAGAGCCGUGAUGACUCUGAAUAACCUAGCCGAGCGCUGCGGUCCUCGUACCGGCGCCGCAUCUUUCAAGUGUCUGCCUUAUCAGCUUUCGAUUGUAGGUUAUACGCCUACAAUGGCUGUAACGGGUAACGGGGAAUCAGGGUUCGAUUCCGGAGAGGGAGCCUGAGAAACGGCUACCACAUCUAAGGAAGGCAGCAGGCACGCAAAUUACCCACUCCCGGCUCGGGGAGGUAGUGACGAAAAAUAACGAUGCGGGACUCUUCCGAGGCCUCGCAAUCGGAAUGAGUCUACCCUAAAUCCUUGGACGAGGAUCCAUUGGAGGGCAAGUCUGGUGCCAGCAGCCGCGGUAAUUCCAGCUCCAAUAGCGUAUAUUAAAGUUGCUGCGGUUAAAAAGCUCGUAGUUGGACUUCAUGUUCGGUCCGGCGGCCCAUCUAAGGCACGCCCUCGUCACCCGUGAGCGGGAUGUAUCUUUGGCUUCCCCGAUCAAUUUUUAUUUUUUACCGCUCUAGCGUGGGCAAGAGGGGUAGAACGUCUGCGUGGGGGUUCUAUAAGAGGGCGCGCGCGUGGCGAGCUCG
rnacentral:rRNA from 1 species